AGAGUGUUAAAUGUUAGAGUAAGGUUACACAUUUGCAGUACUGUUUAUGCUGCACAUCUAUAGAAGUCGCCGUUCUCCAGGCUGCUGGAGGGAUGAGCCAGUUAAUGCUCAACAUUAUAGCAAAGUGGGUGGAGAAUCCAUGGGGUGGAAUUAGAGGUAUGUCUGCCUGACUGGACAUAAAAAGGUUUAACUGGAACCAAGGAGAACGGGACCUGUUCUGUUCCACUGUGACUGGAACCUCACCUGGACCUGGAGCAGGACACAUCCUUCUCGCCACCGGGGCCGCAGCCAGUCGAUCUCGAGAUGUCUCACCCCUCCCUCCUGCUUCAAGAAGAGAAAAUAAAAGAUCAGUUUUUCAUUUAGGUCCAUCAUGUUAUUGCUGAUCCAUGUGGCGCCUGCGUGAACCUGUUUUAGAGACACUGAAGGCCGAGAAAAAGAAAAAAACUUGAAUGGAAAUUUUUUUGGAUGGAUAUUGAAGCUCCUCAUUACCCUCAACCUUCCCUAUAGUCUAUAAAAAACCAGCCGGACCAGUUCUGUCCCAGUGCUGUUCUGUUUGUUCUGAACCAGCACCCCCCUCUCUCUCCUCUGCACGACGCAGCUAAAACAACCUGUUUUACUGAACCGUUCCACGUUAACCUUCUCCUGUGGUUUACAAAGUGAGAGAUGUUUCAAAUGUGCAUUAUGACCUUUGUCUUCCAACAACUGUUUAUUUCCUUUAAAUUGACGCACAGUGAAAUACUGUAAAAAGUGUUUUUAUACCACAAUGACUGAAGCAGAGUCUAGAUUAGUGUAAUCAUUGUGAAGGGGAAAAGGGCUACACAUCCUUGACCACUUUAAUCAUUCGAAAGAGAUUAUUCGUUCAAGGAAUUAGGAAAAAUCUUCUAAAUUCAUAAGCAUGUUUUAAAACUCUUUGCUUUCCUCAAAUGCUCCCAUGACCAUUAUCAGUAUGAUUAUUUUAAUGGUUUAAAUGCAUUUGCAUAAGCUGAUCCAUAGUAACCAAACAAGCUUUGUUGUAUUGUUCUCUAUUUGUUAAAAACUUGAAACUUCUGGCCAAAACUGAGGUGGAACAUAAAUUAUGA
ensembl:lncRNA